rnacentral:rRNA from 1 species
CCUACGGGAGGCAGCAGUGAGGAAUAUUGGUCAAUGGACGAGAGUCUGAACCAGCCAAGUAGCGUGAAGGAUGACUGCCCUAUGGGUUGUAAACUUCUUUUAUAUGGGAAUAAAACACGGUAUGCAUACCCUCUUGUAUGUACCAUAUGAAUAAGGAUCGGCUAACUCCGUGCCAGCAGCCGCGGUAAUACGGAAGGUCCGGGCGUUAUCCGGAUUUAUUGGGUUUAAAGGGAGCGUAGGCCGGCUUUUAAGUCAGCUGUGAAAGUCCGGGGCUCAACCGUGGAAUUGCAGUUGAAACUGGAGGCCGUGAGUGCACACAGGGAUGCCGGAAUUCAUGGUGUAGCGGUGAAAUGCUUAGAUAUCAUGAAGAACUCCGAUCGCGAAGGCAAGUGUCCGGGGUGCAACUGACGCUGAGGCACGAAAGUGCGGGUAUCAAACAGGAUUAGAUACCCCAGUAGUC